UUGGAGCAUGAGCUUUCAUGGGUGAAUACCCACUUCCUCAGAUGCAUGUAGUGGAAAUUUCCAGGGGCAGGUAUAUAUAUGCUAGCAAGCAAGCUAGAGAUAACGAGAUCAGUUCAAUCAGGGAGGAUGAGGCCCUGUUCUAGCAGUUGAGGUGUGAAAACCAAGAGAGGAGAAACUGGUUCUGUAGUUGGCAA